GACGAACGCUGGCGGCGUGCUUAACACAUGCAAGUCGAACGGAAAGGCCCUGCUUUUGUGGGGUGCUCGAGUGGCGAACGGGUGAGUAACACGUGAGUAACCUGCCCUUGACUUUGGGAUAACUUCAGGAAACUGGGGCUAAUACCGGAUAGGAGCUCCUGCUGCAUGGUGGGGGUUGGAAAGUUUCGGCGGUUGGGGAUGGACUCGCGGCUUAUCCGCUUGUUGGUGGGGUAGUGGCUUACCAAGGCUUUGACGGGUAGCCGGCCUGGGAGGGUGACCGGCCCCACUGGGACUGGGAUGCGGCCCAGACUCCUACGGGAGGCAGCAGUGGGGAAUAUUGCACAAUGGGCGGGAGCCUGAUGCAGCAACGCCGCGUGCGGGAUGACGGCCUUCUGGUUGUAAACCGCUUUCGCCUGUGACGAAGCGUGAGUGACGGUAAUGGGUAAAGAAGCACCGGCUAACUACGUG
rnacentral:rRNA from 1 species